rnacentral:rRNA from 1 species
GCUUACGACCAUACCGCGUUAAAAGCACUCCAUCCCGUCUGAUCUGGCAAGUUAAGCAACGCUGGGCCUUCUUAGUACUUGGAACGGAGACGUCCUGGGAAUCGAGGGUCGUAAGCA